GGAUACCAGCUCUGGUCACCAUGGACCCCACUGGAUGAGAGUUUCCAAUGGCUGCGGCACACGACACCUACACCUUCCUCCAAGCACCCAUUCAAGGCCUCCCCCUGCUUCCCACACACACCGUCCGACCUUGAAGUGCAGCUGUGCUUUCAAGAGGUCACUCUAGUCCUAGACAGCCCAUUCCUGGAAUCUGGAAGAUGGAGUUUCACCACAUUGCCCAAGCUGGUCUUGAACUCCUGGACUCAAGCAAUGCCUUGGCCUCGGCCUCCCAAAGUGUUGGGAUUACAGCGGUGACCCACAAUAUCUGGCCUUUGUAGCGUUCUUGUAACUAGGUUAGGUAUAACUCAGAAAAUGGAAAUAAACAUUACAUAUACAAAGUUAA
rnacentral:lncRNA from 10 species